rnacentral:rRNA from 1 species
UAGGGAAUCUUCGGCAAUGGACGGAAGUCUGACCGAGCAACGCCGCGUGAGUGAAGAAGGUUUUCGGAUCGUAAAGCUCUGUUGUAAGAGAAGAACGAGUGUGAGAGUGGAAAGUUCACANUGUGACGGUANCUUACCAGAAAGGGACGGCUAACUACGNGCAACCAGCCGCGGAAAUACGUGGGCCCCGAGCGUUCCCCGGAUUUAUUGGGCGUAAAGCGAGCGCAGGCGGUUAGAUAAGUCUGAAGUUAAAGGCUGUGGCUUAACCAUAGUACGCUUUGGAAACUGUUUAACUUGAGUGCAAGAGGGGAGAGUGGAAUUCCAUGUGUAGCGGUGAAAUGCGUAGAUAUAUGGAGGGGAAAAAACCGGGCUCGGGGGGGUCUCUGGCUUGUAACUGACGCUGAGGCUCGAAAGCGUGGGGAGCAAACAGGAUUAGAUACCCUGGUAGUCCACGCCGUAAACGAUGAGUGCUAGGUGUUANACCCUUUCCGGGGUUUAGUGCCGCAGCUAACGCAUUAAGCACUCCGCCUGGGGAGUACGACCGCNAGGUU